AUGGCGGCGCUCCUCUUACUCCGAAGGCUGGCGGCCGGCGGCGCGGUGGCAAGGCUGCAGCAACCAUACGCCGGCCUAGCCACCGCAGCAGCGAGGCAGGAAGCUCUAGACUCUACCAGCGAGGAGAGCGGCCGGCCGGACAAGGGGAACAAGAACCGCUGGAUGGAGCUCCCCCCGUUCACGCCGGUCGAUGCCGCCGCCGCUGCGAGAGCCAUUUUUCGAGGGCAGGGAGGAGAUGAGAUAGAAGGGAGCUCCAACUCCACCGCCAUCAGAUGGGUCCGGCGAUGCUGCCCCCACCUGCCCGCCUCGCUGGUGCAGAAGCUCUUCCGCCUCCGCAAGGUUAAGAAGAAUGCUGUGACUGCUGAGACAUCUUCCACAGAUGCUAGUGCUGAGCAAUUCCGGUUGAGAAGGGUUUCGGCGAAAGAUCACCUAGUACCUGGCGAUACCCUCUUUCUACCUGUUAAUAUUCAAGAAUCUCCUGUUGCUGAGAAGGCCAGGAAAUUUGAUAACAGGAAUGAGAUUGAUUUUUUACGUAGCCUUGAGAUUUACAAGGAUAAAGCCAUCAUUGUGGUCAACAAACCCCCUGGAAUGCCGGUUCAAGGUGGUGUUGGCAUAAAAAACAGUAUAGAUGUGCUUGCCCCGAUGUUUGAAGAAAAUUCUUCUGAUGCACCUCGCCUGGUCCACAGACUUGAUAGGGAUUGUAGCGGCGUCCUUGUUCUGGGUAGAACUCAACUUAGUGCUUCCAUUUUGCAUGCUAUCUUUCGUGAGAAAACUGCUGAUGCUUUAGCUGAUGGUACUCAACAAGUAUUGCAACGAAAAUAUGUUGCACUUGUUAUGGGAACACCUAGACAUCCCAAGGGUUUACUUUCGGCUCCACUUGCGAAGGUUUUAUUACAAGAUGGCAAGUCUGAGCGUCUGACAGUUAGAGCUGGUCCAAAUACUACGUCUGUUCAGGAUGCUUUGACAGAAUACAGAGUGAUUGAAUCUUGCCCCCGAGGGUUCACUUGGUUGGAACUAUUUCCUCUUACUGGAAGAAAGCAUCAGCUCCGAGUCCACUGUGCAGAGGUUCUCGGAACGCCGAUCGUAGGGGACUACAAGUACGGGCGGCAAGCGCACCAGGACUGGACGCCUCUUCCCGUGCCGCAAACCGUCGACGAGGAACUGCUCAGGAAGCAGAGGCUUCCCUUUGGCCUUGUCCUGGGUGGCGGGAGCGUCGCGGAGGAGCAGCCUCAGUUGCAUCUGCACUGCAAGCAGAUGAUGCUCCCUGAUAUCUCAACUGCCGUCCAAGGGUUGCAGUCUGAAGACGCCGAGCGUGACUUCUCGGGUCUCGAGAAGCUCAGCUUCGUUGCUCCAUUGCCGCUGCACAUGCGGCUGAGCUGGGAGGUUUUGAAGUCCGUUGACAAGUAA
rnacentral:rRNA from 1 species